AACUUUCAACAACGGAUCUCUUGGUUCUGGCAUCGAUGAAGAACGCAGCGAAAUGCGAUAAGUAAUGUGAAUUGCAGAAUUCAGUGAAUCAUCGAAUCUUUGAACGCACAUUGCGCCCCUUGGUAUUCCGGGGGGCAUGCCUGUUCGAGCGUCAUCAA
rnacentral:rRNA from 1 species